rnacentral:tRNA from 5 species
GACACGCUGCUCUUAGGAAGCAGUGCUAGAGCAUCUCGGUUCGAGUCCGAGUGGCGGCAUCCCCUAAAAGAAGGGACAUA